GAGGGUGUAGCUCAGUGGUAGAGCACAUGCUUAGGAUGCAUGAGGUCCUGGGUUCCAUUGCUGGUACCUCCU
rnacentral:tRNA from 1 species